rnacentral:rRNA from 1 species
UGGGGAAUAUUGCACAAUGGGGGAAACCCUGAUGCAGCAACGCCGCGUGAGUGAUGACGGUCUUCGGAUUGUAAAGCUCUGUCUUUGGGGACGAUAAUGACGGUACCCAAGGAGGAAGCCACGGCUAACUACGUGCCAGCAGCCGCGGUAAUACGUAGGUGGCGAGCGUUGUCCGGAUUUACUGGGCGUAAAGGGAGCGUAGGCGGAUUUUUAAGUGGGAUGUGAAAUACUCGGGCUCAACCUGGGUGCUGCAUUCCAAACUGGGAAUCUAGAGUGCAGGAGGGGAGAGUGGAAUUCCUAGUGUAGCGGUGAAAUGCGUAGAGAUUAGGAAGAACACCAGUGGCGAAGGCGACUCUCUGGACUGUAACUGACGCUGAGGCUCGAAAGCGUGGGGAGCGAACA